AUUGAACGCUGGCGGCAUGCUUUACACAUGCAAGUCGAACGGUAACAGGCCUUCGGGUGCUGACGGGUGGCGAACGGGUGAGUAAUGCAUCGGAACGUACCCAGAGGUGGGGGAUAACGCAGCGAAAGCUGUGCUAAUACCGCAUGUGAUCUGAGGAUGAAAGCGGGGGACCGAGCAGCAAUGUUUGGCCUCGCGCCUUUGGAGCGGCCGAUGUCGGAUUAGCUAGUUGGUGGGGUAAAGGCCUACCAAGGCGACGAUCCGUAGCUGGUCUGAGAGGACGACCAGCCACACUGGGACUGAGACACGGCCCAGACUCCUACGGGAGGCAGCAAUGGGGAAUUUUGGACAAUGGGCGCAAGCCUGAUCCAGCAAUGCCGCGUGCGGGAAGAAGGCCUUCGGGUUGUAAACCGCUUUUGGCAGGAACGAAACGGUGUCCGCUAAUACCGGGCGCUAAUGACGGUACCUGCAGAAUAAGCACCGGCUAACUACGUG
rnacentral:rRNA from 1 species